rnacentral:rRNA from 1 species
GACGAACGCUGGCGGCGUGCUUAACACAUGCAAGUCGAACGCUGAAGCUCAGCUUUUGUUGGGUGGAUGAGUGGCGAACGGGUGAGUAACACGUGAGUAACCUGCCCCCUUCUUUGGGAUAACGCCCGGAAACGGGUGCUAAUACUGGAUAUUCACUGGUCUUCGCCUGGGGGUUGGUGGAAAGGGCGUUUCUGGUGGGGGAUGUGCUCGCGGCCUAUCGGCUUGUUGGAGGGGUGAUGGCCUACCGAGGCUUUGACGGGUAGCCGGCCUGAGAGGGUGACCGGUCACAUUGGGACUGAGAUACGGCCCAGGCUACUACGGGGGGCAGCAGUGGGGAAUAUUGCACAAUGGGCGCAAGCCUGAUGCAGCGACGCCGCGUGAGGGCUGGGGGCCUUCGGGUUGUGAACCUCUUUCGCUCAUGGUCAAGCCGCAACAAUGGUUGUGGUGAGGGUAGUGGGUAAAGAAGCGCCGGCUAACUACGUG